AUUGAACGCUGGCGGCAGGCCUAACACAUGCAAGUCGAACGAGUGGCGGACGGGUGAGUAAUGUCUGGGAAACUGCCCGAUGGAGGGGGAUAAAUACUGGAAACGGUAGCUAAUACCGCAUACCAUCGGAUGAGCCCAGAUGGGAUUAGCUAGUAGGUGGGGUAACGGCUCACCUAGGCGACGAACCCUAGCUGGUCUGUGAGGCUGCGGAGCCACACUGGAACUGAGACACGGUCCAGACUCCUACGGCAGGCAGCAGUGGGGAAUAUUGCACAAUGGGCGCAAGCCUGAUGCAGCCAUGCCGCGUGUAUGAAGAAGGCCUUCGGGUUUUAAAGUACUUUCAGCGAGGAGGCGUUACUCGCAGAAGAAGCACCGGCUAACUCCGUGCCAGCAGCCGCGGUAAUAC
rnacentral:rRNA from 1 species